GAGGGAUGGAGCAGUGGAGAGAGAUGGUGGCUGAGACCCGCCUGAGGAUUCACCAGGGAGCAGCCUCGACGACCUCAUCCAAGGACAGCCAGCCUGUCAGCAGGAAGGGUGGGGACCCGCAGAGCUAGGACCUCGCUGCCCGGCCAGCCUUUUUUGCCUUCGAGAGAGGAAGAGAAGGGAUGUGAACGCCGGGACGGUGCAAGCCCACUAGGGCUGCGGCCGCCUUUACCUUGGUAUGCCUAAGCGGUAGCUCGGCGCGGCCCGCAGGGGCUGUUCCACUGCCCCCAGAGCCACUGGGUCCCGCGCGCCCCUGGGGCUUCCGCAGCCACUCCUGAGCCCGCUGCUGCUAAAAGAGGAUCCGGCUCAUCCCAACUCUUGAUUAUCCCAGAAGAGAGCUCCUAGCGUUGUAAGCGCUCACACAUGCUCUCCGCUCCUCUCUCUGCCUCGUAGGGGUAGGAACGAAUUUUGGGACACAUUCAAAUAUCCCAAGCCCCAAGUUCAGCCUGCUCUGGUCCCCAGGUCCCAGCCAGGUCCAGCUCUAACUGAUCUAGACGAACAGCUAUGGCCUCACAGCAUCCCCAUGCUCCUCCUCGCUUUGUGUGCAAGACCCGGGAGUGCGGGGUAGAGUAGCCCUUGUUUUUGCAACUUAAUUAAGCUUUACUAUGUUUAAAGCACCUUUUUACUCUGCUGGGUAGACCUUUCUGCUCAACAUUCUUCAAAACAAGACUGGCAAGUGUCCUAGGAAGAUUCUCAGGGCUAGUAUCACUCACAACUGUAGAAAUUGGAACAUUUCAAAGAGGAAUUCAGGAUCUUUUUCUUGAAUUAAUUCAAAGCAGUCUUAGAAAAGUGAUUUUCUUCUCAAGAACAGUCACCAUGGUCAUCGAGGAUAAGCAAUAGCCAUCAGGAACCCAGGACAUGGUACAGAAUGCUCAGAAUUGGAAGUGACUAAUAGUAAAGUGAUCUAUACUAUCAUCAUACUGGGCCAGGCCAUAUCAAGCUCCAUAUCAAGGACUGGAGAACAACCAGUUCUGGAGAAGGACUACAACCAGGACUGGAGAAGUCUAAAUGACCCUUAGAGAAGGGGCUGUUACUUCUGUGUGUCUCUGCAAAGAAUCAGAGUCUUUUUGCUGUUGUUGCAAGAGUAGAAGAAAGCACGGAUGUGGGAAAUUCAGAAUUUUUCAGCUAUACAAACUCACCAGGAAGGUGGCUGGUUGUCUGGAGCCGAAGAUGGCGCCACCUCAGAACAGGAAAAUCUUUUUAUGGUUCUUGUGAAGCUCACAGUUUUACUGCCAUGUAUAUUUAUUUAUAUAUUUCCUUAAAGCAUCUCAUUUAUUGUAGUUAUUAAAUUGUGUUUAUUUACUUGAGCUUUUAGAGGCAGUUUCUUUGAAUUAUACAUUGUAUUCAAAGCCUUAAGGCACCCUAACUUAAAUUCAGAGGACAUACACUUUUAUCCUUUUCUUAUACUAAAUUGAUCAUGGAGACAAGUGUACACAGUGGCAUUGUGUUUAUGGUGUGUGAUUGAAGGCCAUGAUGAAGUUAUAUAGUUGAUAUUUGAAUGACCCUAAAAACAAAUUUAUCGCAGAAGUAAAAAUACAAUGAAAACAACCCUAUGUGUUUUAUUAACAUGUGGAACUCUACAGCAGUAAUUGCUGAUAGUGGUAAAAUACUUUUGGUUUAUCAGAGACAGCUUUAGAACACAGGGCUGCUACAUGCCUGCCUCAUCGAUCUGGAUGAGUGCUCUAAAAUCUUCCUGUGGGAUCAAACAGGAGGACUCCAUUCUCCAGUGACCUAACUCUUAAGUGUGGCCCAUUCUUAAAAUAAUAUUUUUCACUGGAGUUUGGUUGCUUGGAACACUAAAUGGCUUACUCCUUGUAAGACAUAAUCCAAAACCUCCUGUCAGAGAUUUAUGGAAUUUCCACAUACACUCAGCAAGUGAAAAAUGUAUUCUCCAAUGUAUUUCUAUGUUACACAUGAUAUAGAAAGCUGCCUGGUCUAAACUUGCCUGAGUUAAAUUUAAAUGUAUUUGCCAGAAUAAAAUUCCC
ensembl:antisense Gm15939 predicted gene 15939